rnacentral:rRNA from 1 species
GACGAACGCUGGCGGCGUGCUUAACACAUGCAAGUCGAGCGGUAAGGCCCUUUCGGGGGUACACGAGCGGCGAACGGGUGAGUAACACGUGGGUGACCUGCCUUUAGCUCUGGGAUAAGCCUGGGAAACUGGGUCUAAUACCGGAUAUGACUCCGCGGUGCAUGCUGUGGGGUGGAAAGCCUUGUGCGGCUGGAGAUGGGCCCGCGGCCUAUCAGCUUGUUGGUGGGGUGAGGCCUACCAAGGCGACGACGGGUAGCCGGCCUGAGAGGGCGACCGGCCACACUGGGACUGAGACACGGCCCAGACUCCUACGGGAGGCAGCAGUGGGGAAUAUUGGACAAUGGGCGCAAGCCUGAUCCAGCGAUGCCGCGUGUGUGAAGAAGGCCUGCGGGGUU